AUUGAACGCUGGCGGCAUGCUUUACACAUGCCAGUCGAACGGCAGCGCGGGCUUCGGCCUGGCGGCGAGUGGCGAACGGGUGAGUAAUACAUCGGAACGUGCCCAGUAGUGGGGGAUAGCUCGGCGAAAGCCGGAUUAAUACCGCAUACGACCUGAGGGUGAAAGCGGGGGAUCUUCGGACCUCGCGCUAUUGGAGCGGCCGAUGGCAGAUUAGCUAGUUGGUGGGGUAAAGGCCUACCAAGGCGACGAUCUGUAGCUGGUCUGAGAGGACGACCAGCCACACUGGGACUGAGACACGGCCCAGACUCCUACGGGAGGCAGCAGUGGGGCAUUUUGGACAAUGGGCGAAAGCCUGAUCCAGCAAUGCCGCGUGUGUGAUGAAGGCCUUCGGGUUGUAAAGCACUUUUGGCGGGAACGAAAAGGACUGUGCCAAUACCACGGUUCGAUGACGGUACCCGCAGAAUAAGCACCGGCUAACUACGUG
rnacentral:rRNA from 1 species